rnacentral:rRNA from 1 species
ACGGGAGGCAGCAGUAGGGAAUCUUCCGCAAUGGACGAAAGUCUGACGGAGCAACGCCGCGUGAGCGAUGAAGGUCUUCGGAUCGUAAAGCUCUGUUGUUAGGGAAGAACAAGUACCGUUCGAAUAGGGCGGUACCUUGACGGUACCUAUCGAGAAAGCCACGGCUAACUACGUGCCAGCAGCCGCGGUAAUACGUAGGUGGCAAGCGUUGUCCGGAAUUAUUGGGCGUAAAGCGCGCGCAGGCGGUCCUUUAAGUCUGAUGUGAAAGCCCACGGCUCAACCGUGGAGGGUCAUUGGAAACUGGAGGACUUGAGUGCAGAAGAGGAAAGCGGAAUUCCACGUGUAGCGGUGAAAUGCGUAGAGAUGUGGAGGAACACCAGUGGCGAAGGCGGCUUUCUGGUCUGUAACUGACGCUGAGGCGCGAAAGCGUGGGGAGCAAACAGGAUUAGAUACCCUGGUA